AAAUGAAAACGACCAUAUGACAAUUAAAGAAAAAUAUUAGCUUAAAUUUAGUAAAAUAUAACAUAUUAGAUGAGAUAUAAUUAAAUACAAAGAGUUGGAAUACCCACUACUGUUGAAAACCGCCCUGAGCUGCAUCUGCUGGUUCCUGAAGCCCUUCAGUGUUCAAGGGCUCUGGAGGCCUGACCGGCUUCUCCCACAGCAGCCGGAAGUCACGGCUCCUGGAAGCAGGACCAGCUUCCGCCAGCACAGGUCAGGCCGCCCGGCGGGCCUCCCGCCGCUUCUCCUCGCCCCCGUUCACAUAUCUGCGUGCUUGGUUUCCUGGCUGGGACUGAGCAACAAAACACCAGCUUUCACGCAGAAAAGAAAGAGGCAAAGUUUCUUUUAGGGCCGAUUCUGAUGGCUUUCUCGGAGACAAGAUACCAGCCACUGACGAUGUAUUUUCCACCCAGCCAUUCAAUUAAGACUCCUUCUCCAAUUCAGACUGUCUACCAACCGCUGGGCCAAAAGAUAUCUGGAAAA
rnacentral:lncRNA from 1 species